UCUUAUGGGUGAGCAAAGAAAGUGGUUUCCUGAUAUAAAAUCUACUCCUGGUGUAAAUGCUGUGAA
rnacentral:pre_miRNA from 1 species